GUGGUUACUUCAGCAGCAUCUAUCCUAAAAUUGAAACAAUACAGAGAAGAUUAGUGUGACCCUUGUGCACAGAGGGCAUGAAGAUUCAUGAAGCAGUGCAUAUUUUU
ensembl:snRNA U6 U6 spliceosomal RNA